rnacentral:rRNA from 1 species
UACAGAGGGUGCGAGCGUUGUCCGGAAUCACUGGGCGUAAAGGGCGCGUAGGUGGCGCUCCAAGUCUGUGGUGAAAGCUCGAUGCUCAACAUCGAGUCGGCCAUAGAGACUGGAGGGCUCGAGCACUGUAGGGGCAGAUGGAAUUCCGGGUGUAGCGGUGGAAUGCGUAGAGAUCCGGAAGAACACCGGUGGCGAAGGCGGUCUGCUGGGCAGUAACUGACGCUGAGGAGCGAAAGCGUGGGGAGCGAACAGG